rnacentral:rRNA from 1 species
UGGGGAAUCUUGCACAAUGGGGGCAACCCUGAUGCAGCGACGCCGCGUGAGCGAUGAAGCCCUUCGGGGCGUAAAGCUCUUUCGACCGGAACGAUAAUGGCGGUACCGGGAGAAGAAGCUGCGGCUAACUACGUGCCAGCAGCCGCGGUAAUACGUAGGCAGCAAGCGUUGUUCGGAGUUACUGGGCGUAAAGAGUGCGUAGGCGGUUUUCUAAGUUCGGUGUGAAAUCUCCCGGCUUAACUGGGAGGGUGCGCCGAAGACUGGGAAGCUGGAGUGUGGGAAAGGCAGGCGGAAUUCCUGGUGUAGCGGUGAAAUGCGUAGAUAUCAGGAGGAACACCGGCGGUGUAGACGGCUUGCUAAACCAUAACUGACGCUGAGGCACGAAAGCGUGGGUAGCAAACA